rnacentral:rRNA from 1 species
GUGUCAGCCGCCGCGGUAAUACGUAGGGUGCAAGCGUUAAUCGGAAUUACUGGGCGUAAAGCGUGCGCAGGCGGUCAUGCAAGACAGAUGUGAAAUCCCCGGGCUCAACCUGGGAACUGCAUUUGUGACUGCAUGACUUGAGUACGGUAGAGGGGGAUGGAAUUCCGCGUGUAGCAGUGAAAUGCGUAGAUAUGCGGAGGAACACCGAUGGCGAAGGCAAUCCCCUGGACCUGUACUGACGCUCAUGCACGAAAGCGUGGGGAGCAAACAGGAUUAGAAACCCCAGUAGUCC